UGGCCUCCCAAAGUGCUAGGAUUACAGCCAUGAGCCACCGCACCCAGCCACUUGGGAAGAUUCUUCAAGUGACCAUUUGGUCAAGCGCCCAAGCUUUUAUGUAGGCAAACCUCCUAGUUAUCCUAGGCAGGUGGUGGCCAAUUCUUUUAAAGAUUUCCAUGGCUCUCGAUACCCCCAUCAUACUCCAGCACCCAUCCUGCCCUGGCUUAUCCUGACAAAAGAUUUUUUCCCCCACAUUUACCUGAACUCUGUCUUCCUUGCUAUUCAGAGAAAAUGAAGAAGGAAAGAGAAAGAACUACAGAAUUACCAGGAUACAAGGAAUUUGCUGUUAAGAUCUUCUUAACCUUCCAGUUGCUUGGGAAUCAUUGCCGUAGGGUGUCUCUGUACUCAACAGAAGGGUGAAGACGUUUUAGCAACAGUAGCAAAGCAAAUGAUCUUGGACUUACAGUUUCUUGAUUUCCGAUGAUUAAGCUUCUGCACAUACCAACCCCAAGACAGGGUCAUUCUAUAACUUCUUAAUAAGGUUAAGGUAUUUCGACUACUUGGUCUUCAGUUUCCCUCAGUAAUAGAGACACCAAGAUCCUAUUGCUCUCCAGCAACCAGGCAGGAGAGAUUUGAGUCAGAGGAAAGCACGAGAGAGAAGUUAAGAACAGCAAUUUCUUAAGUCAUAAACGGAGUCAGGACUGUAAGUGUGAUUUUCUGUUACCUGCCCCAGACCUCAUGGAAUUAAACUUUCCUGCCCUGAUCCCUUGGAUUCGUUUCUCCAACCCCACUCACCUAGCCCGGCCUCCCCGAAACACAAAUUGGAAUGGCGUUGGCUCCCGGGCACACUAGGGGGCGCCAGCGGGCUUGUUUUCCAGGAUGGCCCUAAAAUUCUCUCCAGCGAGGAGAGGACCAUGACGGCCAGGCCACGCUUGCUCUGAAAAGCGCCGAGCGUGGAAGGGUGUCUUGGAAUGGGGUCUAAAAGGGAGAACGACAUCCUUAUGACUUGCUUUAGGCUGCUUUCUGGAUGUAUUUUCAGAGCUGGGGAUGAGGAGAGGUUGCGUAAAGGUGCCGGCCUGCUGCUGGCCGGGGCUGGCAGCCUUUCAGCCGCCGCGGGUGAGUCAACACCUGGGAAUUGCAUCCAAGGGCGGCCCUUUCAAGCUGCCUGGAACUUUCUGCCAUCACACUGAGGCCACUGUUUGACCCAGUCCCGGGCCAGGGAGGCAGGAGCCGAUCACGUCCCAGGGCAGUGCUUCUCCCUGGCACUGAGUCCGUGGAAAGAGGCUGGGAAGGUUCUUUCCACACUUGAGGGCUGGCGUUGGGAAAAUAGGGUAGUGCUCUCCGCCCCAGUGAACAGCAAGAGCUCACUUCCCCCAGCAGACUUCUGCUCCACUGGCCUACUUUCAGCAUGGAGUGGAAGGAAGCCAGCUCCAGGAGGGCAGAGGCUUCCUCUCCACCCCUCUCUUCCACAACCUUCAACAGGCGCCUUGUUCUCCCCGGCCAGGGAACUGCGGAUGGUGACCAUCGUUUCCCAGCCCAGCAAGGGGAAAUGAGGGGAGGAAAUAAACGCAGGGUUUUUAUUGCCAAAUAUUUCUUUCCCUGGGAGGACAACGCAUUCAAACCGCUGAGUGGAGAUUGGAGUUAGUCCAGCCAUAAACCAUCUUAAUGAACACUAAUAGAGAACCGCAAUUAUUGUUGACUUCAAAAUGCAAACAAGAACUUUAGACAGUGAUCCCUAUCAGCCGGUGAGGCCGGGCACAGAUGCCGGGCGCUGUUUUUGCCGUUGCUUAGCAAUGGAAAAUGAACUGUUCCUGUCUGUUACCACUGGAGGUGGAGAUAAAGUUUGAACUUUUGCCGGGAGUGUCCCUCCAAAACGAUCAUCAAUCAGACAGAAUAGCUGCAAAUACCAACUCACAGACCAGGUUGGGAAUUAGGUGAUAGGGUCUUGCUAUGUUGCCUCGGCUGGAAUGCAGUGGCUGUUCAUAGACAUUAUCACAGCACACUACAGUCUCAAACUCCUGGACUCAAGCAAUCCUCCUGCCUCAGCCUCCUGAGUAGCUAGGACUACUGGGAUGCACUACUGCUCUUGGCAAAUUAAGGAUUUUGAGAUGGAGAGACUAUCCUGGAUUAUCUGAUGGGCUUAAUCAUUGACAAAGGUUCUUAUAUAAGGAAAAGUCAAUGUGAUAAUGGAAGCAGAUUUGAAGAUGCUGUGCAACUGGCUUUGAAGAUGGAGGACGGGGCCACAAGCCAAGGAUUGUUGGCAGCCUCUAAGCUGGAAGAGGUAAGAAGCAUAUUCUCCUGUGGCACCUCCGGGAGAAAUGCAGUACUGCCUAUACCUUGACUUUAGCCAAGUGAAACUAAUUUUAGACUUCUCACCUCCAGAACUGUAAGAUAAUAAAUUUGUGUUGAUUUAAGACACUAUGUUUGUGGUAAUUGGUUACAGCAAU
rnacentral:lncRNA from 1 species